rnacentral:rRNA from 1 species
GACGAACGCUGGCGGCGCGCCUAACACAUGCAAGUCGAACGAGCGAGAGAGAGCUUGCUUUCUCGAGCGAGUGGCGAACGGGUGAGUAACGCGUGAGGAACCUGCCUCGAAGAGGGGGACAACAGUUGGAAACGACUGCUAAUACCGCAUAAGCCCACGGGUCGGCAUCGACCAGAGGGAAAAGGAGCAAUCCGCUUUGAGAUGGCCUCGCGUCCGAUUAGCUAGUUGGUGAGGUAAUGGCCCACCAAGGCGACGAUCGGUAGCCGGACUGAGAGGUUGAACGGCCACAUUGGGACUGAGACACGGCCCAGACUCCUACGGGAGGCAGCAGUGGGGAAUAUUGCACAAUGGGGGAAACCCUGAUGCAGCGACGCCGCGUGGAGGAAGAAGGUCUUCGGAUUGUAAACUCCUGUUGUUGGGGAAGAUAAUGACGGUACCCAACAAGGAAGUGACGGCUAACUACGUG